GUCUUCUCUCCUCGCUGCAGCUCUCUGUAUGUCAGAGCUCCUUUUUUUAUUUCUGAGUAGUGUUUUCCAUUAGAGGGCAGUACAGAACGGGAAACAGAAAUCAACGUUUCAACCUUGAAUUCAUCCUGCACAUUUAAUCUUGCAGCCCCAGAGUGACCAUUCCUUGCCCAUAGUUAUUCCUCCUGCUCAGCCCAGAUCCAUGUGGCUGUCUUGCCGUGCUGCUGGACUCACUUACUCUGCCGUUGGAGCACCAUCGCAGCGUAGAUGUUGAGGCAGCAGACAGGCAGAUGAAGAAUGAGACUCAGUCUGUGGUUUCACAGAGGGCUAAUGAUGCCUGUGGUGACUACAGGCUACAGUCAGCCCCCUAACGAAGGGAGCUGUGACACAGCCACAAGGGGUCCCAUUUAAGCCAGGCGCACUCUGAAGUGCACUGUAAGCACCCUCCUUUUUUGCUUGUGGCUAAGUAAAUUCUAAGGAAUGCUAUGAAUUUAGCAACCAGAGAUACUGAAGUCUGUAGAGUUCUGUGGUUGAUGUUAAAAAACAA